GACGAACGCUGGCGGCGUGCUUAACACAUGCAAGUCGAACGAAGUGGCGAACGGGUGAGUAACGCGUAAUCAACCUGCCCUUCAGAGGGUGACAACAGGUGGAAACGACUGCUAAUACCGCAUACUGAAGGAGGGGAUUGCGUCUGAUUAGUUAGUUGGAGGGGUAACGGCCCACAAAGGCGAUGAUCAGUAGCCGGUCUGGAGGGAUGAACGGCCACAUUGGGACUGGGCAACGGCCCCGACUCCUACGGGGGGCAGCAGUGGGGAAUCUUCCGCAAUGGACGGAAGUCUGACGGAGCAACGCCGCGUGAGUGAUGACGGCCUUCGGGUUGUAAAGCUCUGUUAAUCGGGACGCGGUACCGGAAUAGAAAGCCACGGCUAACUACGUGCCAGCAGCCGCGGUAAUAC
rnacentral:rRNA from 1 species